ACACCCCUUUGUCUUUUCUUCUUCUCCGGCAAAGCAAACAAAUGCGAUCAAAACCCUAACUCCUCAAUGAACACUGGAAUGAUAGACAAAACUACGAAGGAGAAAGCUCCCGAUCGUUGAAGGGUAUCGGUUCCUUGCAUGAAGAGGUGCAAUUGAUGGUACAUCUUGCGGCAAAUAGAACGAUCAAUCACAGGAGGGACAUAACUUGGAGAAAGUUGGUGGAUUGUGGGAUAAAAAUAGGAACUUUCCGACACGGGGAGCGUUAGGUGUCCUGUCAUUGGAGGUGUUUCCUAUUGUGUGGUUCAUUUUAUGAGAUCACCAAUGCUUACUAAUCGAGGAAAGCAAAAUUAAACUUGCAAGAGCACAAGAGACAAGCAAAAGGAAGAAUCGCAUACCAGCUGAGGAAAAGGAAGGAAGCGCGCAGCUCAGGAGCACCUCUUCUAUUGUCCAAUUGUAAUUGAGCUGAAAAAGGGGCAAGGAAGAACUCUAACUCCAUUUUUAUAUUGGGGGAAAAGACUAGGGAGGGUGAAUGAAACAACUGCAGAGAUAGGUGAGAAAGACAGGACAGAGGAAGAGGGGAAUUAAGGUUGUGGGAACCUGGGAAACAUUUGCCCAAAAUGGUGCCAUGACAGCGUUCCAUCAAAUAUUUUACGAAAAAUUAACAUUUUGAUGUGUGCUGUAAAAAUUCGAAAAUUUCAUAUCAUGUCAUGAAAGUAUUUGCAUUUUUUAUGUGCGGUUAAAAGAACUAAAAAUCAAUGAUGUGUAGGUGCAAUUUACCCUGGUUUAUAUUGGCUGCGUUUUAUUGCAAAUAAAAUAUUUCAAGGUAUUUAAAAUAAAAGAUGUGAAGAUAUAUAAUUAGAAAACUACGUGACUGCAUUACCUUACCGAAUUUGAACAUUCUGAUUGGGUCACAUCAGCCCGAUUCAGUACCCGGUAAACAUGCGCGGGCACAGUAGAAACGUCCUUCAGUCGAAUGUUGUUCUUUUCCUUGGAUUUCGUGCAGUGGCAGCUCCGGUGGAGAAAGAGACCUCCCCGCCGUCACAUCCAAACACCACCACCCCCCACUCGACUUCAUCACGACCUGCCUCCAUCCUUGCGCCGCACUCACUACCUUCCAUCCACAACGAUGACAGAGAGCUCGUCGGGUUGUCCAUCGAGCCGUACCGAAGUUCGACCAAUAUUCUUCCGGCAAGAGCUCCGCUACCAAGUCAUACGCCGGCCAUCUCGAACAGGCUCGCCUUGCCGUGGAUUACGAGAAGCUCCAGUGUCUCCAUAUCUGGGCACCCCAACGAGAUCAAUGAAAUCAGAAUGGACAUUGCAUCCCUCCAAUUUGCCCACGAAGUACUCAACCAACGACUCAACUGCUCAGUCUCCUCACUGACCACAAAUGCGUGACUGCUACCGCCGUCUCGGCCUCAUCGAACCUGGAUCUGACUUUAGCGGAGACGAGCUGUCCAAUAAUCGUCCAACCAGCGUUGUGGAACAAAGCCGCUUUGAGAUGACUGAUCCGGAGAGGGUUUGGCCUCCGAAGACCUUUUCAGUCCGGUCCAGCAGCUAUUCAAGGCCAAUCAAUCGGCUACAAACGGAGCUGGCUCGAGUCGGACGGCGAGUCAGCCCCGAGCAGCUACUGAACUUGAAGCUGGAAAGCAGCAGAUGUAUCUGCCUGGAUCAAAUACGGCGUACGUUCAGGGGAUGUUCAAGACAGAACUGUGCAACAACCGGUAGGAGACCAGCGAUUGCCCGUAUAAAGACCAUUGCCAGUUCGCCCACGGCAUAGCAGAGCUGAGGCCAGUGAUCAAGCACCCACUCUACAAGACAGAAGUCAGCAAGAAUAUCCUUGAAUGGGGUUACUGCCCUUACGGCCAGUGCUGCCACUUCUGCCACCCCUGCACCGACCAGUAGAUGAUGCUUGCUGGGGCUUCACCACGUUGAGCCUACUCUGACUGACUCCUCCCAUGUUCCUCUGGUCUGGUCUGGUGAGUUUCCCUACAUCAAACUCUAUAUGGCAUCAAUUCUUUUUGUUAAUGAUUUCUGGGGGAACUUUGAUAGUUAAGUCUGCUGCCCUGCUGUACAUAUAUAGUGCAUAUAUACCGUACAUUGAUGGAGGCGAAGUUAUCAUCAAGUAUAAGGAAUAAUGACUCCUAGGCUAGUACGCCGAAGGGAACUACAAUGAGGUGUUGUAGAAGACAAUGCUGAAAACAUUUUGGUAGAUGAUACGAUGCAUAUAUUGAUUGUUUGGCUUUUGGCUGGUGCUCUCUC